rnacentral:rRNA from 1 species
GGGAAACUGCCUGAUGGAGGGGGAUAACUACUGGAAACGGUAGCUAAUACCGCAUAACGUCGCAAGACCAAAGAGGGGGACCUUCGGGCCUCUUGCCAUCAGAUGUGCCCAGAUGGGAUUAGCUAGUAGGUGGGGUAACGGCUCACCUAGGCGACGAUCCCUAGCUGGUCUGAGAGGAUGACCAGCCACACUGGAACUGAGACACGGUCCAGACUCCUACGGGAGGCAGCAGUGGGGAAUAUUGCACAAUGGGCGCAAGCCUGAUGCAGCCAUGCCGCGUGUAUGAAGAAGGCCUUCAGGUUGUAAAGUACUUUCAGCGGGGAGGAAGGCGAUAAGGUUAAUAACCUUGUCGAUUGACGUUACCCGCAGAAGAAGCACCGGCUAACUCCGUGCCAGCAGCCGCGGUAAUACGGAGGGUGCAAGCGUUAAUCGGAAUUACUGGGCGUAAAGCGCACGCAGGCGGUCUGUCAAGUCGGAUGUGAAAUCCCCGGGCUCAACCUGGGAACUGCAUUCGAAACUGGCAGGCUGGAGUCUUGUAGAGGGGGGUAGAAUUCCAGGU